rnacentral:sRNA from 14 species
UUGACAUCACUGGAAACUGAAGGCUUCUUUUGUCCACAGAACAGGUACAGCUCAGGCAGUGGCAGUGCAAAUUUCCCCACACUGCCCUCCCAGUGUGCGUAAACCCUAUAGUGAGCAGCUGUAAGAGGGUAGUCUAGUGUACAUUACAAGUAAUUUUUCCACCUCA